rnacentral:rRNA from 1 species
GACGUAGGAUGCAAGCGUUGUCCGGAUUUAUUGGGCGUAAAGAGUUCGUAGGCGGUUACUUAAGUCUGGUGUUAAAGACGGGAGCUCAACUCCCGCAUGGCAUUGGAAACUGGGUGACUUGAGUGUGGUAGAGGUAUCGGGAAUUCCAGGUGUAGCGGUGAAAUGCGUAGAUAUCUGGAGGAACACCAGUGGCGAAAGCGCGAUACUGGGCCAUAACUGACGCUGAGGAACGAAAGCCAGGGUAGCAAAAGGG